ACGUCUGAAUUCGUUGUUACAAGUCAGCUGUUGAGCAAUCAUGGACAGUGAGGCUUUGCAGGUUAUGUGCGGAAUUCAGGUUGAAAUGAGUUUCAGUCGAGAUUUAGGUUAAUCAUCGCGUUCGAAAUCUUGCGCAGUUGUUAUGAUCCCUGAAAUAUUGGCGGACAAAGGGAAACAUUGAGAUAAUCCGAUAAUUCGACCUUGAUUUUUGGGUGCAGAUAUUCACGAGCUCAACUCGGAAUGAUAUGUUAUCUUGAUGCAGUGCAGUCGUAAUUCACUCUUCUAAUGUAACUUUCCAAUCACGAACAUGAACCAAGUUACCGUUAAAGUUGCCAGGUGUUGCGCAGUCUUGCGUACACUAUCGUUGGCACAAAGUGCGCGAAAAUUUUGUGAAAAUGGACUAACGUCGAUUAGAACGAUGGAAAACGUGCCGAUGUCAAAGGACUUUUUGUUUCGUCAGUUUUUCGACCCAAAGUCAUGCACGUACACGUACCUGCUCGCAGAUGUUCAAAGUCGCCAUGCAGUUUUCAUUGAUCCGGUUAUCGAGUGGGCCGAGCGUGAUGCAAAAAUCAUCGAGGAACUAGAGUUGCAGCUUCUUUUUGCUCUAAACACACACAUGCACGCGGACCAUAUAACGGGAACGGGAAAACUGAAGACGCUGUUGCCUGGCUGUAAAUCGGUGAUAUCUCGAUCGAGCGGUGCCCAAGCCGACGUUUUGCUCGAGCCCAACGACCUCGUUAAAUUUGGAAAGCACGCGCUCAAAGUUUUAUCGACUCCUGGACACACGGAAGGGUGCGUGACUUACGUUUGUGCGGAGCAGGGCAUGGCAUUUACGGGCGACGCUUUGCUCAUACGCGGCUGUGGCCGAACGGACUUUCAAGGAGGCUCCGCGGCAACUCUGUACGAUUCGAUUCACUCGAAAAUUUUCCAACUACCGGAAAACUUUCGUUUGUAUCCGGCUCACGAUUACAACGGACGAAUGGUCACGAGCGUCGCGGAGGAACGGAAAUUUAAUCCGCGUCUGACGAAAUCUCUCGAGGAAUUUGUCCAGAUUAUGGAGCAACUGAAUCUUCCGUAUCCGAAAAUGAUCGACAAAGCCGUGCCGGCCAACAAAGUUUGUGGCCUUUUCGAGGUCGACCAGCAGCCAAAAUGAGGACGAGUUCGAGAGCGGAGGAGCUUCUCCCGCGACAACUUCAGCGGUCUUUGAACCGGAAAUCCUCUAAAUUCUGUACGGCGCAUCUUCCCAAUAAUGAUCCUGGAGCGGUGGCUUAUAGCAGAGAGAAGAAAAGAGGAAAGGAGCGGGCGCUGGGCGGAGUGAAAAAAUUCCCGAAAGAUCCGGUGGGAGGAGAGAGGAAAAUUUACCAUUCGCGCGGUGCAUACAUGUUUUUAAAUCGUGGUAUUAGGUUCAAUGGCGCGUGUGGAUUCGUUUCGAGUGCUCGCACACACACGAGCCUGCCCACGCGGGUGCUCCGAUGACGAACAAAAAAUAAAAGCAAGAAAUACAGGUUACGAAGGCGGUUAAUAAUAAUAAUUGGUGGAGGGCCAACGAGGUGCGUUAACGGAGGCUCAACGUUAUUGGCCGUUUUACGGUUUCGUCGAUAUCCCAGCAACGCAGGAUCGUAAAUAAAAAUGGACGCGAGAACUUUUCUCUUCAAAAUACGAAUUCCGAGACACCCUGUAAAAGUCUGUACACACGUGCGAGAUGGAGGAAACGGUAUAUAGAAUCCAUCGGAUGGUAUACAUAUUGACCGAGGUUGAUAUGAGAGUGGAAAAUAAAAAAUAAAUAAAUAAAUAAAACGCUCGGGUUUUAUAGG